AGCGACAGCUAGGGGUGCCAUCCGGCUGAGAGUCCGAGCGAUCGGGCGACCCUCACAACCUGACCUGGGUAAUACCAGCGUAGGGAAGCGACCGGUUCACUGG
rfam:Nitrospira sp. SCN 59-13 ABS70_C0177, whole genome shotgun sequence.